rnacentral:rRNA from 1 species
UGGGGAACCUGCCCCAUAGUCUGGGAUACCACUUGGAAACAGGUGCUAAUACCGGAUAAGGAAGCAGAUCGCAUGAUCAGCUUUUAAAAGGCGGCGUAAGCUGUCGCUAUGGGAUGGCCCCGCGGUGCAUUAGCUAGUUGGUAAGGUAAAGGCUUACCAAGGCGAUGAUGCAUAGCCGAGUUGAGAGACUGAUCGGCCACAUUGGGACUGAGACACGGCCCAAACUCCUACGGGAGGCAGCAGAC